rnacentral:rRNA from 1 species
UGGGGAAUAUUGGACAAUGGGGGAAACCCUGAUCCAGCGAUGCCGCGUGUGUGAAGAAGGCCUGAGGGUUGUAAAGCACUUUCAGUGGGGAGGAGGGUUGCUAGGUUAAGAGCUAAGUAACUGGACGUUACCCACAGAAGAAGCACCGGCUAACUCCGUGCCAGCAGCCGCGGUAAUACGGAGGGUGCGAGCGUUAAUCGGAAUUACUGGGCGUAAAGGGUGCGUAGGUUGUUGAAUAAGUUAUGUGUGAAAUUCCUAGGCUUAACCUGGGCAUUGCAGAUAAGACUGUUUGACUAGAGUAUGGGAGAGGGUAGUGGAAUUUCCGGUGUAGCGGUGAAAUGCGUAGAUAUCGGAAGGAACACCGGUGGCGAAGGCGGCUACCUGGCCUAAUACUGACACUGAGGCACGAAAGCGUGGGGAGCAAACAG